ACGGGACGCACAGGUAUCCCGAACUAAAUCUAGCAACAUUACUUGGAUCCAAGUGCAGUGUCCGCAACAGCGAAACAGUUACGAUUGCGGAUACUUUGUAUUGAGGUUUAUGAAAGAAAUCCUUCAGGCAAAUCAAUUAGAGAUUCCGCUCACGUACCUUGACGAAUUCCGUACCGCUGGAUACCCAAAACUUAAGUUGGAAGAAAUAAAAG